UUAUCCUUCCCUUUUGGCUCAGAUCACCCCGUGUAGUAUCUGUUCUUAUCAGUUUAAUAUCGAUCCGCUACCCAUGGUGCUUGCAUAUUAAAUGGAUUUUUCGAACAGGGAGUCAGUACCUCCAGGCUCUGAUCAGGCCCUACACCCAAACAAGGGCACUGGUGCAUCCACCUCUGGCCUGCUGUCCCUACCACUG